rnacentral:lncRNA from 1 species
UAUGUGUGACAUUUAUUCUCCGUAAUAUUUUUCCAUGGCUCUGACUUGUGAGUCAUUUUUAUAAACCAAUGCCAAAUAUGAAUCCAUGUUUCUUACUUGGAAACCCUGAACAAACACCACUGCCAGGAGGCGCUCGCGUUGGCGUCGCUCAUCGACGACGAAAAGAAGCUUGUUGACUGUCAGUUCGACCUCUGGAAGCAGUACUACGUGACCGCAUGCAUCGCUGUGUUCGACAAUCUCCGACGCAGUCGCCGCUUGGACGCGGUCCAGAGCGGCUGCACCGCGCUGUCCAUAUUCAAAUAGGGGGACCUCAUGGUCAUCGCCAACGCUGGCGACUCUCGGGUUGUUCUGGGCACCGCAUCCGACAACGGCGCCGUCACACCGUCCAGCUCAUCAUCCACAUGAAGCUCAACCUCCCACGUAAGUCACUACUGACCGGCCAUGAAUUCUUGUGUGCUGGGACGACGGUCGUUGCUGACGUUGUGUGAGUGUCCUCGAACAAGAUUUAUGUAGAGGAGUAGCACAUCCGGUGGUGCAACGGCUAGGUGUACUACCUCGCUGAUGAGCCCGGGGUGCACUUCGUUUGGCAGCCCAACCAAGAGUCAUCGGUACUCGCCAAGUCGUGCACGUUCGACGACUACUAUAUCAAGGACUAUGACGUCAUCUUGGCACCAGAGGUGACACAGAGUAGGACCGACAACAAUGACCACUCGCCAUCGUCGAGGUAGCUUUUGUGCUGGCCUGCCUUUAAUUCUCUUCGCAAACACAUACACUUGCUUUUUUGUUUAAGCAAGCGUGCAUGGUGGUGCGUACCUGAUGACUGACAAUGUACGAGGGAACUUAUACCGGCAGGUGUGACACGUGCUCUUCAAUGAUGAGAUCAUGCAAAUCGUGACAUAUAUCGAAGUCUGCAUGAUACUGAUGGUUGCAAUGGAAUAGUGAAACAGCUAAAUUAAAAUAACAAAAAUUAUGUAUGGCUAGGAUUACAAAUGGAUUAUGAAAUAUUUUUUAUAACAAUAUAAGACACAUUUUAUAUAUAAGUUAUUAUGUUAUUAUAUGUUCCCGUUGCAACGCACGGGUACUCACAUAGUAAAGAAUUAUGAGGUAAAUAAAGUAAUAUAUGAGAUCUAGGUGUGGCCAUUUUCUACAUUCCUCCCUCAUAGUAUGAUUCUUACCGGCUUAUAGUGGCGGGAUUGUGUCUGACCACAUGACCCGUCGACUUCAGGGUGGAUCCAUUCCUCCGACGAGCAAUGCCACGGUUCCCCGAUGAUGUUCCCUCACGGAGAGGUUGCAGACAUGCACGGUGUAUACCAUCGACCACCCCCGCCCGCAUGCUGGGCGUAGAUCAAUGACAUAGUCGAAUCUCCGGUACGAUGCUCCCCUUCUCUCUCCCAGUUUUCGCUCGAGAACAACGUCAUCUAAUCUCUAUUGGUG